GGAGUUUGGGCCGUGUCUCAGUCCCAAUGUGGCCGAUCAACCUCUCAGUUCGGCUACGCAUCGUCGGCUAGGUAGGCCUUUACCCCACCUACUACCUAAUCUGCCGCGGGCCAAUCCUAAAGCGAUAAAUCUUUCCCCCUCAGGGCGUAUACCGUAUUAUCGUCCGUUUCCAGACGCUAUCCCGUACUUUAGGGCAUGUUCCCACGUGUUACUCACCAGUGCGCUACUCUCUUGCUCAGUGCAAGCACCUCACAAUACCGUUCAACUUGCAUGUGUUAAGCCUGCCGCCAGCGUUCGUUCUGAGCCAUGAUCAAACUACU
rnacentral:rRNA from 1 species